rnacentral:RNase_P_RNA from 1 species
AGGCCAGGAUAGUGGCUGACGGGCCUAUUGGCCUGAGGAAACACCGCCCUCUCGGUGGCAGCUGGGCCUCUGGCUGAGGUGAUACCUCAGGCAACGGCACAGAAACGAAACGGCCUCCAUUAUAUGAUAAUGAUGCAGCAAGAUCUUCUUGGCAACAAGAAGAUAGUAAUCUGCUGAAGAUAAUGGAGGAUGCGAUGAAACGGCCGACCCCAGCGGAGCAAGGUAGAGGGCUAUGAGGAGCCACGCAAGCCCUCUAAAUCCGCAGAGUCAAAUGCCACUAAACAGAAGGCGGGUUAUUAUCCUGGCCU